UAUAGACAGAGAGCAUUACGGAUUGACAGCGACAUCUGUAACCGCCCGAUAGUGGGCUGUUCAGAGCCGCACGGAGUUUGUUACGGAGAGUAGUGGCGUCAGGGAUCAUUCAGGGACACGUGGAGUUUGUUACGGAGAGUGGAGUGGUGUCCAUUGUUGUGACUUGCCAGAGAGUCGUGGAGCCUGGAGAGUGGAGCAACGUCCAUUGUCGCGACUUGCUAGAGAGUAGUGGAGCCAUGCGGAAUCUGUUGCAGAGAGUGGAGCAGGGUAGUGGCCAUUGUCGUGGCUUGCCAGAG
rnacentral:lncRNA from 1 species